GUCAGUAAUGAUGUUUUUAAAAACCUCAAUGUUUAGCAUUGAGGUGAGAUAUUUAAGUAAUAAAACUGAUGGCUCAGUGAUCAGAGCAUCAACAGCUCUCUGCCGGCAAAUCCUGGUGCUCUUUAUUGCUGUGGUCCUGUUCCAGCCCCAUAGCAGGAGAUUGCUAAUGAUCUGGGCUUGGGAUAUACACCUGUGUCCCUCCAGGGUCGUGGUUCUCUUCUUUUAAUCUGUUUCCUUCCCCAGCCUCAGAGUCUUCACCUGUGCUUUAGUGUGACAGGAUUUGCUGCUUUCCCUCAACUUGCUUAAGGCUCUUGCCCUCUGUAGGGGAGAAGGCUUUAGGAGGGGGUCUGUGUCGUGCCAGCAAAGACUGCCCCUGUGCCAUGACAGCUCCAUCAGGAAGCCUCCUCUCUUCUCAUCUGCUGCUCCCAAUCUUUCUCCUGAGCACCAGAAAUUACCUUGAGAAGAAGCCUGAAAAGGUGCAUGGUGUCCAGAAGCAUC
rnacentral:lncRNA from 1 species